CUCUCUUAAAGUCUCCUCCUUUGUGAAAUUCCUUCUUAUACUCCUCCUUAAAGUCCUCAAAGCAUUGGCCUUUGACCCUUUCCAUUUUAUCUCAACCGCAAAUCUCGCAGAAUCUUGGAGUUCUGAAGAUAUGAGUAGGCCCUUAAUUUGAUGAAUGGUGAUCUGGGCCUCAACUUUCUUGGAUGAAAUGGAAGGCCAUGGCCUCCACUUAAUCAUCUUCACUACCAUUCUUCUUCUCCUGAUUUGCACAAACGAUUAUAAACCCUUUUUGACUUUUGACGAACAAUAUUAAGCAAGGAUGAGGAUCAAUCUGUAUGGGUGUUCUUGAAGAAGAUGGAUUUUUGGAGAACGGGUUCUUAUAUAAGUGGAAAUUUGAAAGUUGGUUUGAGGGAGUGGUGUGUACAGGCUGACAUAACGAUUAUUUGUGGUGUGCACAAACGCAUCCACUGGAG
rnacentral:lncRNA from 1 species